rnacentral:rRNA from 1 species
AGUCAAUAGAUACCCGGGUAGUCCUAGCCCUAAACGGUGCGUGUUUGCUGUAAAGGAAUCGACCCCUUUUGUGGCGAAAGCUAAACGCGUUAAAAACACGCCGCCUGGGGAGUACGGUCGCAAGAUUAAAACUCAAAGAAAUUGACGGGGGCCUGCACAAGCGGUGGAGUAUGUGGCUUAAUUCGAUGCAACGCGAAGAACCUUACCUGGCCUUGACAUGCAAGUGGUAGAACCAUGAAAGUGGGAACGAUCCCGNAACGGAAGGCUUGCACAGGUGCUGCAUGGCUGUCGUCAGCUCGUGUC